rnacentral:lncRNA from 1 species
AGCACAGGACGGCCUAUACAAAAAGAAUAUUGCUAGGAGGGGGGACCAUAAAAAUUUGUCAUUUCUUUAUGUUUCUAGCCCUUGGCUACAGUCUAGGAUAAUAUGGUGGACAAAUUCUUGGCUUUCAAGAUUGUAAUAUAAUAGGACUUGCAGAGACAAGAGAAAACAGCAACUCAGCUCCUAUAAUUAGUUGCUCUAUAAGGCUGUGAAGCAUAAGAAGAUGUGGAGAAAGAAGAAAAAGAAGUAUUUGAUGGAGUACUCGAGGACGAAAAUGGCGAUCACAGCAACUUUUCAGUGAACACUAGGUCACACCCUUCGGUGCAUCUGAUGUGAGUCAGAUACCAAGGUAAACAGGCAAGUCAUAGCGGCAAAGGGAAGGCCACGCCUUUCUUCCAGAUUUUUACUUUUUUCUUCUUGUUUCGUAUUAAUUCUCCAUCAUAUCAUGGAUCAGCCUGGCUUUGGAGUUUGUUGCUUUGCUAUUAUUAGUCAUUUAGCUUUUGAUUAAACUACUGUUCAACCAAUGUCCUUGUUGAGUUUGUUGCUUUGCUAUUAAUGGUGUUGGAGGCAAUGCCUUCUUUUUAAGAAAUACAGUUGUGUUCUUACCUUUCUAGUCCAUUAAGUAUAAUGGUGUUUAUCUUCCCUUUUCUCCCAAUUUUUCUAGCUCCAUAUCACUGCUUUAAUCCAUAUGUAGUGACAAUAUGAAAGAAAUUUUACAUUAUAAAACAUCAUGCUUCGAUUUGCUUAGUGCAAUCACAACGCUAUUCAGAGUCUAACUCUUCCGGAUUAGGGGUAAGGUCUGUAUAUACCCUUCCCAGACCCUACUUAUAAUAGUAUUAUUAUUUCUAUAAGCGAG